rnacentral:tRNA from 2 species
GGAGCGGUAGUUCAGUUGGUUAGAAUACCUGCCUGUCACGCAGGGGGCCGCGGGUUCGAGUCCCGUCCGUUCCGCCA